rnacentral:sRNA from 1 species
GACCGCAAACUAUUUUCUUUAAUGCAGGACCAAAAGAAUUUUGUUUAUUUGCCAGCAUUAAUUCAGGUCCACGCAAAUAUGGCAAAAUAAAACUCAUCUGGCACGCGAUAUUAUCCAAAGCGAAAGGCGUAACAAGUGACGCCCAUAUUAAGCUCAUUUCCAUUGCUGACCACCAAUGAAACAAACAAAGCCCAAAGGACCCUUAACCACCAGUUGUAAUGAGCAAUUUUCAGCCGUACACUUAGCGAAAAACGCUGACCUACAUUCAAUUAGAAGCGGUAUUGAAUAAUUGCCGUUAAGUUCAAUCUGAUCUUGAUAAUGUUCUUUGAAAAUGUAGCGCUUAUGUUACAACCAUAUAUGGAAUAAAACCAAAAUGUUCCCAUUAAA